AAUAGAUACCCGGGUAGUCCAUGCCGUAAACGUUGGGCACUAGGUGUGGGGCUCAUUCCACGAGUUCCGUGCCGCAGCAAACGCAUUAAGUGCCCCGCCUGGGGAGUACGGCCGCAAGGCUAAAACUCAAAGGAAUUGACGGGGGCCCGCACAAGCGGCGGAGCAUGCGGAUUAAUUCGAUGCAACGCGAAGAACCUUACCAAGGCUUGACAUGCACGGGAAGCCACCAGAGAUGGUGGUCUCUUUGGACACUCGUGCACAGGUGGUGCAUGGUUGUCGUCAGCUCGUGUCGUGAGAUGUUGGGUUAAGUCCCGCAACGAGCGCAACCCUCGUCCCAUGUUGCCAGCGGGUUAUGCCGGGGACUCAUGGGAGACUGCCGGGGUCAACUCGGAGGAAGGUGGGGAUGACGUCAAAUCAUCAUGCCCCUUAUGUCUUGGGCUUCACGCAUGCUACAAUGGCCGGUACAAAGGGCUGCGAUACCGUAAGGUGGAGCGAAUCCUAAAAAGCCGGUCUCAGUUCGGAUUGGGGU
rnacentral:rRNA from 1 species